rnacentral:piRNA from 1 species
UGGCACUGUUGUUCGUAUGGGGUUA